UAUAAAAUUGUUUUGAAGGGUAGUACUGC
rnacentral:piRNA from 1 species